rnacentral:rRNA from 1 species
UUCACUAGUGAUUGUAGUCAUAUGCUUGUCUCAAAGAUUAAGCCAUGCAUGUCUAAGUAUAAGCAAUUUAUACAGUGAAACUGCGAAUGGCUCAUUAAAUCAGUUAUCGUUUAUUUGAUAGUACCUUUACUACUUGGAUAACUGUGGUAAUUCUAGAGCUAAUACAUGCUAAAAAUCCCGACUGCUUGGGAGGGAUGUAUUUAUUAGAUAAAAAAUCAAUGCUCUUCGGAGCUCUUUGAUGAUUCAUAAUAACUUGUCGAAUCGCAUGGCCUUGUGCUGGCGAUGGUUCAUUCAAAUUUCUGCCCUAUCAACUUUCGAUGGUAGGAUAGUGGCCUACCAUGGUUUCAACGGGUAACGGGGAAUAAGGGUUCGAUUCCGGAGAGGGAGCCUGAGAAACGGCUACCACAUCCAAGGAAGGCAGCAGGCGCGCAAAUUACCCAAUCCCGACACGGGGAGGUAGUGACAAUACGUAACGAUACAGGGCCCUUUCGGGUCUUGUAAUUGGAAUGAGUACAAUGUAAAUACCUUAACGAGGAACAAUUGGAGGGCAAGUCUGGUGCCAGCAGC